rnacentral:ribozyme from 1 species
UCUCGCGCACAAGAAGCGAUCGACUGAGUGGACACAGCAAGCAGCCAGGGAAGAAAGAAGAAAGGAACUACAGUUGGUUGGUUUGGCGAGACGGUAAAGCAUU